rnacentral:rRNA from 1 species
ACGGAAGGCAGCAGUGGGGAAUAUUGCACAAUGGGGGAAACCCUGAUGCAGCGAUGCCGCGUGAGGGAAGACGGUUUUCGGAUUGUAAACCUCUGUUCUUAGUGACGAAGAAGUGACGGUAGCUAAGGAGCAAGCCACGGCUAACUACGUGCCAGCAGCCGCGGUAAUACGUAGGUGGCAAGCGUUAUCCGGAAUUACUGGGUGUAAAGGGAGCGCAGGCGGGAUAGCAAGUCAGCGGUGAAAUGUAUGGGCUUAACCCAUGAACUGCCGUUGAAACUGUUAUUCUUGAGUGGAGUAGAGGCAGGCGGAAUUCCGAGUGUAGCGGUGAAAUGCGUAGAUAUUCGGAGGAACACCAGUGGCGAAGGCGGCCUGCUGGGCUCUAACUGACGCUGAGGCUCGAAAGUGUGGGGAGCAAACAGGAUUAGAUACCCUGGUA